UUGCUGUGAUGAUUCGAUUUCGUGUACCAGAGACAGAUCUAUCAAGAUUUUGUCUGUGACGGCAACACAACCCUCUAAGAAGUUCUGAGCAU